rnacentral:rRNA from 1 species
AGAGUUUGAUCCUGGCUCAGGAUGAACGCUAGCGGCAGGCUUAACACAUGCAAGUCGAACGGUAACAGGGAAAAGCUUGCUUUUCUGCUGACGAGUGGCGAACGGGUGCGUAACACGUAUGCAACUUACCUUUAACACAGGGGGAUAGCCCAGAGAAAUCUGGAUUAAUACCCCAUAACAUUAUCAUUUCGCAUGUUAUGAUAAUUAAAACUCCGGUGGUUAGAGAUAGGCAUGCGUCCCAUUAGUUAGUUGGUAAGGUAACGGCUUACCAAGGCAGCGAUGGGUAGGGGGUCUGAGAGGAUGAUCCCCCACACUGGUACUGAGACACGGACCAGACUCCUACGGGAGGCAGCAGUGAGGAAUAUUGGGCAAUGGACGCAAGUCUGACCCAGCCAUCCCGCGUGAAGGACGACGGCCUUAUGGGUUGUAAACUUCUUUUAUGUACCAAGAAAGUUAUCUAUGUAUAGAUAUUUGACGGUAGUAUAUGAAUAAGCAUCGGCUAACUCCGUGCCAGCAGCCGCGGUAAUACGGAGGAUGCAAGCGUUAUCCGGAUUUAUUGGGUUUAAAGGGUGCGCAGGCGGACUAAUAAGUCAGUGGUGAAAUCUUUCGGCUUAACCGGGAAACUGCCAUUGAUACUGCGUUUCUUGAGUAUAGUUGAGGUAGGCGGAAUGUAUAAUGUAGCGGUGAAAUGCUUAGAUAUUAUACAGAACACCGAUUGCGUAGGCAGCUUACUAAACUAUAACUGACGCUGAGGCACGAAAGCGUGGGGAGCGAACAGGAUUAGAUACCCUGGUAGUCCACGCCGUAAACGAUGAUCACUCGUUGUUGGCGAUACACAGUCAGCGACUGAGCGAAAGCAUUAAGUGAUCCACCUGGGGAGUACGGUCGCAAGAUUGAAACUCAAAGGAAUUGACGGGGGCCCGCACAAGCGGAGGAACAUGUGGUUUAAUUCGAUGAUACGCGAGGAACCUUACCUGGGCUUAAAUGUAGAGUGCAUAAACGGGAAACUGUUUUUUCCUUCGGGACUCUUUACAAGGUGCUGCAUGGUUGUCGUCAGCUCGUGCCGUGAGGUGUCGGGUUAAGUCCCAUAACGAGCGCAACCCCUAUCGUUAGUUGCCAGCGAGUCAAGUCGGGGACUCUAACGAGACUGCCGGUGUAAACCGCGAGGAAGGUGGGGAUGACGUCAAAUCAGCACGGCCCUUACGUCCAGGGCUACACACGUGUUACAAUGGCCGAUACAAAGGGCAGCUACCAGGUGACUGGAUGCUAAUCUCUAAAGUCGGUCUUAGUUCGGAUCGAAGUCUGCAACUCGACUUCGUGAAGCUGGAUUCGCUAGUAAUCGUAGAUCAGCAACGCUACGGUGAAUACGUUCCCGGGCCUUGUACACACCGCCCGUCAAGCCAUGGAAGUUGGGGGUACCUGAAGUCUGUCACCGUAAGGAGCGGCCUAGGGUAAAACUGAUAACUGGGGCUAAGUCGGAACAAGGUA